rnacentral:rRNA from 1 species
AACGAACGCUGGCGGCAGGCUUAACACAUGCAAGUCGAGCGCAUCCUUCGGGGUGAGCGGCAGACGGGUGAGUAACGCGUGGGAACGUACCCUUUCCUACGGAAUAGCUCCGGGAAACUGGAAUUAAUACCGUAUACGCCCUUAGGGGGAAAGAUUUAUCGGGGAAGGAACGGCCCGCGUUGGAUUAGCUAGUUGGUGGGGUGAAGGCCUACCAAGGCGACGAUCCAUAGCUGGUCUGAGAGGAUGAUCAGCCACAUUGGGACUGAGACACGGCCCAAACUCCUACGGGAGGCAGCAGUGGGGAAUAUUGGACAAUGGGCGCAAGCCUGAUCCAGCCAUGCCGCGUGAGUGAUGAAGGCCUUAGGGUUGUAAAGCUCUUUCAGUAGGGAAGAUAAUGACGGUACCUACAGAAGAAGCCCCGGCUAACUUCGUGCCAGCCGCCGCGGUAA